AUGGCAGAAGAAAAAGAAAUAAACUCUUAUCUUAGGAUGAAGGUCAGCGGAACCGGAAGGGAUAGAGUGCAACACGGCGUCUAUGGAGGUUUUCACAGCGGGUUCUAUAUGCAGAUCACGGCUACUUCGUGGGCUGGACGACCAGAUCUGAACGACGAGUUUAGGAGUGGGAGGAAACUGGCGGUUCUGACGGCGGGAGACACAUCGUCGAUUUUGAACUUGUGUGGUGAUGCUGCUCUGUCUGGCGUUGAUGGAAGAGUAGUCACAGUGUACGUUUCUGGCAGCACGAUCAAAGUUGGAGAUGGAAGCCUGGGGCGGACGCAUGGGCGCUGCGUGUGA